AGGAAUUUUCCCAGAAAAUCUUAUUUGUAUCUGAGAAUCCCUGGGAAUAUUUUAUACCUUUCUUCCAUUUUGCGACAUUCCUAUUGAUCGAGAGCUUUCCCUUUUAGGCUGUACAACAAUCUUUCCGUCUCUAUAGCUUCAGUUUUAGUUUUUCUUUUUCUUUUGUCAAAGUCGAAGAAAGCAAAAAGCUUUCUGCUUGCCGAACUUUCUGUGAGCUUGUUUUCUCCGAGAAAAUCUCUCUCUCUCUCGGAAUGCGGAGAAAUUUAGGGAAAAGAAGGGAUUUUGGGUAGCUGAGAUGGUGGUGAGGAAGGUGGGAAAGUACGAAAUCGGUAGGACGAUCGGCGAAGGAACCUUCGCGAAGGUGAAGUUCGCGCAGAACACUGAGAGCGGAGAGAGUGUCGCCAUGAAAGUUGUCGAUCGGAGCACCAUCAUCAAGCGCAAGAUGGUCGAUCAGAUUAAGCGAGAAAUAUCAAUCAUGAAGCUUGUUCGUCAUCCUUACGUUGUUCGUCUCCACGAGGUUCUUGCAAGCCGCACUAAGAUCUAUAUAAUCCUGGAGUACAUUACAGGUGGUGAACUGUUUGAUAAAAUAGUUCGCCAUGGACGUCUUAGUGAAGCAGAAGCUCGGAAAUACUUUCAACAGCUUAUUGAUGGAGUCGAUUACUGUCACAGUAAAGGGGUUUACCACAGAGAUCUAAAGCCGGAAAAUCUUCUCCUGGAUUCCCAAGGGAAUCUAAAGAUAUCCGAUUUUGGUCUCAGUGCAUUGCCCGAGGAAGGAAUUACACUACUUAAGACAACAUGUGGAACACCGAAUUAUGUGGCUCCUGAGGUUCUCAGUCACAAGGGUUAUAAUGGCGCAGUCGCAGAUGUUUGGUCUUGUGGAGUCAUCCUCUAUGUUCUUAUGGCAGGAUUCCUUCCAUUUGAUGAACUUGAUCUCACAACUUUAUACAGUAAGAUCGAUAGAGCAGAAUUCUCUUGCCCGUCUUGGUUUCCAUUGGGAGCGAAGUCCUUGAUUCAUAGAAUUUUGGAUCCAAAUCCUCAAAUGAGAAUUACGAUUGCUGAAAUCAGAAAAGAUGAAUGGUUCCGAAAGGAUUACACUCCUGUUCAACUUCUUGAUUAUGAACAUGUCGAUCUCGAUGAUGUGUAUGCGGCUUUCGAUGAUCCUGAGGAACAGAGAACCGAUGGACAUAGCGGAAACGAGGACACUGGUCCUUUGUUUCUCAACGCCUUUGAUCUGAUCGUUCUAUCUCAGGGACUUAACCUUGCAACGUUAUUCGACCGUGGGAAGGAUUCCAUGAAGUAUCAGACUCGGUUUGUCUCUCAUAAGCCAGCAAAUGUUGUUCUAUCGAGCAUGGAAGUCGUCGCACAAUCUAUGGGUUUUAAAACACACAUUCGUAAUUACAAGAUGAGAGUGGAAGGACUGUCCAUGCGCAAGACGUCUCAUUUCUCCGUCAUCCUGGAAGUCUUCAAAGUUGCGCCGCCGUUUUUUAUGGUAGAUCUUCAGAAAGCUUCCGGAAACGAAGAUGAAUACCUCAAGUUCUACAAGACGUUUUGUAGCAACCUCGACGACAUCAUUUGGAAGCCCCCGGAUGAAUCUGGAAGAACCCGAGUCGCGAAAUCCAAGAGUAAAAGACGUUGAAAGCCUGUGCCUUUAUGCAAGGCACCUGGAGGAGUAUACUAAAAAAGACGAAAAAUGGAGACGAACGUUUCCCCGCACGAGCAAUGCCCGUCUACGAAUCUGUGAAGCCGUUUGCUGUCUCGGAUAACGAUGGUUCUACCAGUAAGCAUCGACACCAUCUUCAUAAAACUAUGGCUAUCACUGCACAUGUUCACGCUUUUCACGAUCCUUAUUACCGCAGCCUCUGGUGUGGAUAACAGUCCUAACCCGAGAGCCAACUUCUCGCUGUCAUAUACGACGGCAGAAGUGGAGAUCUUCCUCUCGUUCUCGCCUUCGACUGUCUCUAGCUCAUUUACCCGCUGAAUCUCGGGUCCAUUCGUCUGGGCCUUCUCUAAGCAUUUGUAUAUCUCCUCGCUCCGAGAAUGCGUCCGAUCAUCGGGUCUGAACGAAUGAACCUUGUCUUUGACGGUGAUCCAACUCCAAUUCUCUUUCGUUGCGACGUUCUCAUCGUUGAUCAGUGCCUCCAAUCUCGAGACCUCUUCAAGCUUUUCGGCCGAUAAAUAUGUGUUCAAUAACAAGGCGUACGUUUCGGGCUC